UAAUACAUGCUCUGGAUACUGACUCUAAUUGUACAAAAAUGAAUUUAUCACAUAAGUUGGAGAAUGUGGCAUAUACCUUGGGGGGAGAGGAAACCCCUGCUUGCUGACAUCUGGAAGGAAGUCUUUUUACGGAAACAAAAUUACGGUUAAUUAUAAAUUGUUUCAUAUAUGUUGACGUAUAUUUAGAAAGUUUUUGUGGUGGUUCCAAUAUGUUUUUUAAAGCUGCUACUGUAUGGGGAACGAUGCAAGACCGCACUUGGUAAACAAAUAAUUUAUGUAAAAUAUUUUUAAUUAGAAAUACUAGUUUAACGCCAGUGACAAGACACUUGCUGCUCUCUGGUUAUGCUAACAGUUUUAGUUUUUAGUUGAUAUUAAUUUUGCUACACAUUUUUAUCAGACUGAGAGUGUACUACAAAAUAUAUAAGUAAGAUAUUUACUAAAAAAUUUAACGAAUUGUAAAAACAUAGAAUACAUAAAUGACAUUUUAUAAUAUUAGUUUGCUCUUAACAUUUUAAAAUUCAAAGUCGUUACUUUCCAUUUAAAGCGUAUCAGAAUUAAGAUUUUUUUUAUUAUUGUGAUAUAUUACGUUGCGGCUUUUAUAUUUGUAUGACAGUUAUAAAUCAUUUAAUCAGUUAAGCUCAUAACAAAAAGUUAUCUUGAUAUAUUAUUAAGAUCGUCUUGUACAACAUAAAUGUAUUUUGAUACCAAAUUCAUUUGGAGCAAACCCUUUAAAUUCUCCACCUGUUAGUUCAUAAGGAAGCAAAAGAUUCGUAACCAUUUCAAAAAAUAUACAAUAUGAUAUUCAUACAGAAACAAGUAAAACAGCUAAAUAGCGCCCUAAACCCUUCCGAAUCCAAAUCCGGGCGUUUCUUGUGUAUUGCUUCGCGCAUAUUGCGCAUAACUUGCAGGUAAUAUUCCUUAUUGACCGUUCUACCCUGUGGCAAGAACUUAUGAUGCACCACGCCCCUGCAAUUUAUUUUUUCGUCUGUUAUUGAAUUGGUCGGGCGUUCGGCACGCUCUUCGUCGUUCACAUCUUCUUGGCCUUCUGAGAACUUUUUUUACCACCGAUAAUCAUUGCUUUGGUCCAAGGUAGCUUCUCCGUAUGCCACAGUCAAUUUUCGGAAUGCAUCCGCGCACUUAAUUUCGUUUUUCACACAAAAUUUGAUACAGGUUCUUUGAUUCAUUUUUUUCGAAUAGGCAAAAAUCGAAGACCAUCCAAAACACCUGCAAGAAAAUCAGCUGUUAACAACUAAGUGAACGUUCAAAAUGGCCGAGCUUGUCGACAUAAGUGACAGACAUGAGUGUCAACAUAACUCCACAAAAAAAUCAAAAUUCGAUUAAACGUAACCCGCGAAAAUUCAAAAUUCACGAUACUUUUUGAACACAAAUCGUAUAUUAUAUUGUAGAUUAUACCUUGAGCUAUCAAAUUUCUACUCACUGUAAAACAUUGUAUUUGCAGAAUUUUAUUGGGAACAUUUAAUUCAUUUCUACAUAUUUUUAGCACUUGGUAAACUAAUAAUUUAUGUGAAAUAUUUUCAAUUAUAAAUACUAGUUUACCGCCGGUAACAAGACAUUUGCUGCUCUCUGGUUAGGCUAAUAGUGGCUUAUAGUUUUAGUUGAUAUUAAAUUUUCUACACAUUUUUUAUCAGACUGGGAGUGUACUACAAACAAUAUAAGUAAGAUAUUUACUAAAAAAUUUAACGAAUUGUAAAAACAUAGAAUACAUAAAUGACAUUUUGUAAUAUUAGUUUGCUCUUAACAUUUUAAAAUUCAAAGUCGUUACUUUCCAUUUAAAGCGUAUCAGAAUUAAGAUUUUUUUUAUUAUUGUGAUAUAUUACGUUGCGGCUUUUAUAUUUGUAUGACAGUUAUAAUUCAUUUAAUCAGUUAAGCUCAUAACAAAAAGUUGUCUUGAUAUAUUAUUAAGAUCGUCAUAUAUAACAUAAAUGUAUUUUGAUACCAAAUUCAUUUGGAUCAAACCCUUUAAAUUCUCCACCUUUUAGUUCCUAAGUAAGCAAGAGAUUCGUAACCAUUUCAAAAAAUAUACAAUAUAAUAUUCAUAGAGAAACAAGUAAAACAGCUAAAUAGCGCCCUUAAACCCUGAAUUUAAAAUUGGUGAAAAAUCUCAAUAGUUGAAACAAUUAUAAAAAUAUUCGAAAUAUAACCAAAACUAGGUUAGAAGAUUUGCAAAACCUAAUAUUUCUGCCUUGCGAUCUUUAUUAAUAUUAGUAAGUACAGCUUAACUUAUUUUGAAAAUAGAAAUAACUAUCUAGGAGAUGUUCAUGAGUACUGAAUAUUCGUUUCCGUCUGGUGUCAUAGAGAGCUACAAUUCUCUUAAUAUUAUGUUAACACUAAUCGUGUUAAAACAAAACAAUUCGUUAAAGAAUAAAUUUAUUUUCUUAUCUUCGUAAAAAGAGAAGUGUAUACGGGCAUAUGCAUUUGCGCCACUGUUGUUGUAAUGCCAAAAAUUGGGGGCAGUGGCAGUACUGCGCUGGAAAAAAUAUCAGAGUUGUUCCGGCAGCAAAUCCCAAUGUCAUGGAAACUUGUCGUCUCUUAUGGCAGGAUUUUCCAUUUUAAGAUAGCAUUUGCGGUCAAUUUUAGACUCAAAAAUACCAAAAUCUUGUCGCAAAAAUUUGCAUUUUUAUUUUCGUAGAGAUUAGGCGUCAAUGGGAUAAUGCUCCAUCAGAAAUGUUAAAAAAUUAGGUUCGAAGUAUGCCAAAACAUCUUCGCGCAGUAAUUAAGAGCAAAGGUGGGAAUACUGAUUACUAAAUUUAGUUUUAAAACAAAGUUUUUUGAUUUUUUUGAAAAUUUAUACUUUCAUUUGACGCAUUUUGUUUUGAAAAUUAUUUAGUUGGGUUAAAAAACAUAUAUUUUUCAUUCGAUAUCUAGAAAAAAGUAUUUUCCUAUGUUUUUGUUAGUCACGCACCUAUGGAAAUAUGAUAACAUUGUAUCAAUUGACAUUUAUUUAUUUUAAUAAAUCAUCACUGAAA